CAUAUUGAUAUCCACUAUCAUUUUGUUCGAGAAAAGGUGCUAAAUCAAGAAAUUGAGUUGCGUUCGAUACGAACAAAGGAGCAGGUUGCAGAUGGCCUUACAAAGGCACUUUCUAAAGCUAAGUUUGAGGAGUUUCGAGAAAGACUUGGUCUUGUUAAUAGAGGGCAUGCACUAAGGGGUAGUGUUACAAGUUAGUUGCAGUUUAGUGCAUUCCCUCAUAUUCGGUGUCAGUUAGAUUUAUGUUUCCUAUUUUUAUGGCUAUUUUAUUUCCAGUAGUUAUUAUGUCCAGUUAGUGGAGUCUUUAGUGGAGUCGGUCUAAAUUACUCGGUCUCAGUCUCUGCUGACUGAGUAAAUUUAGGAGUGAGUUAGCUUUAUUUGAGUUAUAUUAAGAGUCUAAAGUUCCUCUGUUACCUUUUGUAUUCAGUUACUCUAUUUUCUGAGAAAUAAACAUCUGCUUCUUUCA